UUAAAAAUAAUUAAAUAAGCGUAUAAUCUUAAGAAUAUGGCUUAAGAGUCUCUACCAGGGAGCCCUAAACUUCCUGACUACCAGUUAAGAAAUCCCUAAG
rnacentral:ncRNA from 2 species